AAAAUUAUUAUCAAAAAACGAGGAAUGGGAAAGAAACAGGUCAAACUUUUGGAAGUUUGGUGUGUUAUUUAGCGGAUGCCUUUCCUUCCCUCUUGAUC
rnacentral:ribozyme from 1 species